rnacentral:snRNA from 1 species
GUGCUCGCUUUGGCAGCAUAUAUACUAAAAUUGGAACAAUAUAGAGAAGAUUAGCAUGGCCCUUGCGCAAGGAUGACAUGCAAAUUCGUGAAGCAAAUUCCAUAUUUUU